rnacentral:rRNA from 1 species
GACGAACGCUGGCGGCGUGCUUAACACAUGCAAGUCGAGCGGUAAGGCCCUUUCGGGGGUACACGAGCGGCGAAUGGGUGAGUAACACGUGGGUGACCUGCCCUCAGCUCUGGGAUAAGCCCGGGAAACUGGGUCUAAUACCGGAUAUGACCCCAUGACGCAUGUUGUGGGGUGGAAAGCCUUGUGCGGCUGAGGAUGGGCCCGCGGCCUAUCAGCUUGUUGGUGGGGUGAGGCCUACCAAGGCGACGACGGGUAGCCGGCCUGAGAGGGCGACCGGCCACACUGGGACUGAGACACGGCCCAGACUCCUACGGGAGGCAGCAGUGGGGAAUCUUGCGCAAUGGGCGAAAGCCUGACGCAGCGACGCCGCGUGAGGGAU